UUAACAAAUUCCGCAUAGGCACCAGGGUGUCUCGCGCCAAUUACCGUAAGCUUUUCACAUCUAGCAAGCUCUCCCUUUUUACAGCUUUCACAUUCCCCGCAAUAAAAACUUGGACA
rfam:Oceanobacillus picturae, S1, WGS project CCAX01000000 data, contig: 000001